UGGAUCUAGGAUGUGUGAUGCUGGGAUCCACAGUGUGCGGUACUCGGAUUAAGGUUGUGAUUCUGGGAUUGAUUCACGGAAGGACCCUAGGGUUAAGGCUGCCUCACCCUGGAUGAAGCCUGUCUUUUUCAGGUCAUAAUCCCACCAACUAGAGUACAGUGCCCAGGACACACAAUAAGAUCUUGGAAUGUAGCCCAAGCUGACCCAAAACUUGUCACAAUGGUCCUGCAUCAGCCUCUGGAGUCCAGGAAUUACAGAAUUAACAUUCAGAAACUUUUAAAACAAGAUAUCCCAGCAAUGGAACUGCUGCCCUAGCAAUGACAAAGGAAACAGAAUUCAGCCUCUGAAAAUCUCUACUCCCUAUGUGAGAAUAUGAGCAAAAAAGACAAAUAGAACAGGAAGAAGGGAAGACAUUAUGUGUAUACAGGGGUACGUAUAUGUACAAGAUAGAUAACUGUACUGCAAAUCUCUGUAAGUUCAUCAAUAAGAACAGCCUGAACUUUCAUUGACUGAUCACUUCUUGUAAAUCUUGCAAUCUGAACAACUACUUCUAAGAUAACAAUAUACAGGCCUGGGGAUUUAGCUCAGCGGCAUAAGCUCCUGCUUGGUACCGAUCCCUGGUACCGAUAAAAACGAAAAAGACAAAAAAAAAAAAAAAAAAAAAAAACAAACAAACAAACAAACAAAAAAAAACCAAACAAUAUACAAUACAUUAACUAGUGUUAUUUCCUACUAUUUUUGACAUUCUGUAUCAUGCCUAUCCUUUUUGUUUUGUUUUUAAAAUUAAAAAUUAAAAUAAAAAAUAACUUCUAUCAGAAAAAGAGUUUUCACCAAGUGCAUUCUCUAGAAACAUCCUGAGAUUCAUGUCUCCCAGUGAUCCCUGUACCAAAUUUUGAGAAGCAUCAUGUCAGACCAACAAAGGGAAGCCUUUCAUGAUCAAGAUGGAGACAACAUUUGCAAGCACACGGGCUCCACGAGGAGCAAGAAUUGGUACACAAAGCUGGAAUUAUACUAGAAAAAGAGAUGCAAGUUUAGACAAGUACCAAGUAAGCAACCAAAAAGCAAGCUUCUUACAGCUCAGCUGUGAAUGGGAAACCAAACAAGAUUUGACUGUAUACAGAUAUUUAGUCUAAAAAGCAGGUGUUUUUGGUGACUUACAUAUACUAACCUCUAUAAAGACUCUAAUGCCAUAUAUUUUGGUCUCACUUGGAAAGCUGGUUUCUGAUGAGUCAUCUACUGCUUCUCUGAGGCCCUGCUCUCCAGAUUUAUUGACCUAAAUCUGGCUGCUGUCUGUAAGAAGUAGAGAUAUUUUGGGGGAACUGAAUGGAGUACAUCCAUAGGCAGAUGAUUAUACAGGUCACUAUUUUAUUUUCAUUUUUCUUUUUUCCUGUUUUCUCUAUUUUCAUUUUUCUUUUCAAUCUAUAGACAAGUGCUUAGCAUUGAAGACCCCAGAAUACCUUUUUUAGCUUUGUGAAGCGCGGCAUUGUUUAAUUUCAGACAGACAACUAGCACAGCAUAGAUAUAUUUGGAUAAAGAAAGGCUAACAAAAAACCUCAUUAAAGAUAAGUCCCUUUCAAAUGCACUGGGACACGGGUUUGUGUUUACAGCUAGAGAGCAGGGCCACGGGCAGAGACCAGGCCAUUCCUGAACUCUGUGCUAGUAGCUAUUUUUUCCAUGAUAGUGACAUUCUGACUACACUUGAUAUCACACAUAGUGACGGCCUUGAAACCAAUUUUCCUAGGACAUUAGUAGCACUGUGAGGGCCAAAGAAAGGAAGUGAGGACAUAUCCAUCUCUGUAUCUCUAGACUAUAGUCUCAUCUUAAUUGGUGGUUUUUAUAUGAAAUAACUAAAAUAGUGUCUAUAAUUUGAUCACCAUGAAGAAAAUACUACAUGUCUAAGACUUAGGUUUCCUGUACAUAAAAAUGAGCUGAUCAGCAUAUGUAGUUUGAGGCUGGGUUUCUAGGACAAAAACAUAAUAUAUAGAAUGACACAAUUAUGAGGCUCAGGGGUAACUUUGUAGCAAGCCACAGAUACUGUGAGAACACUACAUGCCAAAA